AACUUGAACCUAGGCUAGGGAAGGAAGGCGAGUUAGAUCGAAUAUCGGGUGUAGAGUACACGAGCGGCGGACGGGUGAGUAACGCGUGGGAAUCUACCCCAAACUGAGGGAUAAGCAUCGGAAACGGUGUCUAAUACCGCAUAUGGUCUUCGGAUUAAAGCUUCGGCGGUUUGGGAAGAGCCCGCGUAAGAUUAGCUAGUUGGUGAGGUAAUGGCUCACCAAGGCGACGAUCUUUAACUGGUUUGAGAGGAUGAUCAGUCACACUGGAACUGAGACACGGUCCAGACUCCUACGGGAGGCAGCAGUGAGGAAUUUCCACAAUGGGCGAAAGCCUGAUGGAGCAACGCCGCGUGCAGGAUGAAGGCUUUAGGGUUGUAAACUGCUUUUAUAUGUGACGAAUAUGACGGUAGCAUAUGAAUAAGGAUCGGCUAACUCCGUG
rnacentral:rRNA from 1 species